rnacentral:rRNA from 1 species
ACGGUCCAGACACNUACGGGUGGCAGCAGUCGAGAAUUUUUCUCAAUGGGGGCAACCCUGAAGGAGCGACGCCGCGUGGAGGAUGAAGGCUUUCGGGUUGUAAACUCCUGUCAUUUGGGAACAAGUUACACACGUUAACUGCGUGCGUAUUGAUAGUACCAGAAGAGGAAGAGACGGCUAACUCUGUGCCAGCAGCCGCGGUAAUACAGAGGUCUCAAGCGUUGUUCGGAUUCAUUGGGCGUAAAGGGUGCGUAGGUGGCGCCGUAAGUCAGGUGUGAAAUUUCGGAGCUUAACUCCGAAACUGCAUUUGAUACUGCGGUGCUUGAGGACUGGAGAGGAGACUGGAAUUCACGGUGUAGCAGUGAAAUGCGUAGAUAUCGUGAGGAAGACCAGUGGCGUNGACCGUGAUU